GUAAAGACCAAUUAAAGUGGACAAGAUUUGACCUUUUCCAUUGAAAUGACCCCGUUAUCCCUCAUCACCUUCCUAAUGCUUCGUAAUAAAAUCUACCUGCUUCCUUCGGACCUUCCUUCACUGUGACCGUUUUACCCCUCGCCAACCUUCCUAGAAGCCCAUGUACAGCUCCAAGAAAAUGGUCUUGACAUUCCUUCCUUACCUGUAUCCUAGUUGUCU
rnacentral:misc_RNA from 1 species